GACGAACGCUGGCGGCGUGCUUAACACAUGCAAGUCGAACGGAAAGGCCUGCUUUCCCUUGUGGAUUGCGGGUACUCGAGUGGCGAACGGGUGAGUAACACGUGAGUGAUCUGCCCCCAACUUGGGUAUAAGCCUGGGAAACUGGGUCUAAUUCCCGAUAGGACUGCAGGGUGGUGCCUGUGGUGGAAAACGAUUUUCUAGUGGUUGGGGAUGAGCUCGCGGCCUAUCAGCUUGUUGGUGGGGUAAUGGCCUACCAAGGCGGCGACGGGUAGCCGGCCUGAGAGGGUGGACAGGCACAAUGGGACUGGGAUACGGCCCAGACUCCUACGGGAGGCAGCAGUGGGGAAUAUGGCACAAUGGGCGGAAGCCUGAGGCAGCGACGCCGCGGGGGGGAUGACGGCCUUCGGGUUGUAAACUCCUUUCGACCGCGAGGAAGCCACCUGGUUGGAAGGGUGGUGACGGUAGUGGUAGAAGAAGCACCGGCUAACUACGUG
rnacentral:rRNA from 1 species